UACAGAGGUCUCAAGCGUUGUUCGGAUUCAUUGGGCGUAAAGGGUGCGUAGGUGGCGCUGUAAGUCGGGUGUGAAAUUUCGGAGCUUAACUCCGAAACUGCAUUCGAUACUGCGGUGCUUUGAGGACUGGAGAGGAGACUGGAAUUCAUGGUGUAGCAGUGAAAUGCGUAGAGAUCAUGAGGAAGACCAGUGGCGAAGGCGGGUCUCUGGACAGUUCCUGACACUGAGGCACGAAGGCCAGGGGAGCAAACGGGG
rnacentral:rRNA from 1 species